rnacentral:rRNA from 1 species
GUCCACGCCGUAAACGAUGAUUGCUAGCCGUUGCGCAGCUUGCUGUUCAGUGGCGCAGCUAACGCAUUAAGCAAUCCGCCUGGGGAGUACGGCCGCAAGGUUGAAACUCAAAGGAAUUGACGGGGGCCCGCACAAGCGGUGGAGCAUGUGGUUUAAUUCGACGCAACGCGCAGAACCUUACCAGGGUUUGACAUCCUGCGACCGCCCUCUAAUAGGGGUUUUCCCGCAAGGGACGCAGAGACAGGUGCUGCAUGGCUGUCGU